AAUUAUUGGGCGUAAAGGGCUCGCAGGCGGUUUCUUAAGUCUGAUGUGAAAGCCCCCGGCUCAACCGGGGAGGGUCAUUGGAAACUGGGAAACUUGAGUGCAGAAGAGGAGAGUGGAAUUCCACGUGUAGCGGUGAAAUGCGUAGAGAUGUGGAGGAACACCAGUGGCGAAGGCGACUCUCUGGUCUGUAACUGACGCUGAGGAGCGAAAGCGUGGGGAGCGAACAGGAUUAGAUACCCUGGUAGUCCACGCCGUAAACGAUGAGUGCUAAGUGUUAGGGGGUUUCCGCCCCUUAGUGCUGCAGCUAACGCAUUAAGCACUCCGCCUGGGGAGUACGGUCGCAAGACUGAAACUCAAAGGAAUUGACGGGGGCCCGCACAAGCGGUGGAGCAUGUGGUUUAAUUCGAAGCAACGCGAAGAACCUUACCAGGUCUUGACAUCCUCUGACAACCCUAGAGAUAGGGCUUUCCCUUCGGGGACAGAGUGACAGGUGGUGCAUGGUUGUCGUCAGCUCGUGUCGUGAGAUGUUGGGUUAAGUCCCGCAACGAGCGCAACCCUUGAUCUUAGUUGCCAGCAUUUAGUUGGGCACUCUAAGGUGACUGCCGGUGACAAACCGGAGGAAGGUGGGGAUGACGUCAAAUCAUCAUGCCCCUUAUGACCUGGGCUACACACGUGCUACAAUGGACAGAACAAAGGGCUGCAAGACCGCAAGGUUUAGCCAAUCCCAUAAAUCUGUUCUCAGUUCGGAUCGCAGUCUGCAACUCGACUGCGUGAAGCUGGAAUCGCUAGUAAUCGCGGAUCAGCAUGCCACGGUGAAUACGUUCCCGGGCCUUGUACACACCGCCCGUCACACCACGAGAGUUUGCAACACCCGAAGUCGGUGAGGUAACCUUUAUGGAGCCAGCCGCCGAAGGUGGGGCAGAUGAUUGGGGUGAA
rnacentral:rRNA from 1 species